rnacentral:rRNA from 1 species
GACGAACGCUGGCGGCGUGCUUAACACAUGCAAGUCGAACGGUAAGGCCCUUCGGGGUACACGAGUGGCGAACGGGUGAGUAACACGUGGGUAAUCUGCCCUGCACAUCGGGAUAAGCCUGGGAAACUGGGUCUAAUACCGAAUAGGACCACAGGACACAUGUCCUGUGGUGGAAAGCUUUUGCGGUGUGGGAUGGGCCCGCGGCCUAUCAGCUUGUUGGUGGGGUGAUGGCCUACCAAGGCGACGACGGGUAGCCGGCCUGAGAGGGUGUCCGGCCACACUGGGACUGAGAUACGGCCCAGACUCCUACGGGAGGCAGCAGUGGGGAAUAUUGCACAAUGGGCGAAAGCCUGAUGCAGCGACGCCGCGUGGGGGAUGACGGCCUUCGGGUUGUAAACCUCUUUCACCAUCGACGAAGGUCCGGGUUUUCUCGGGCUGACGGUAGGUGGAGAAGAAGCACUGGCCAACUACGUG